rnacentral:rRNA from 1 species
AUCGAACGCUGGCGGCAUGCUUAAUACAUGCAAGUCGAGCGAGCGGCGGACUGGUGAGUAAUGUCUGAGAAACUGCCUAACCGACGCGGCUAACUGCUGGAAACGGUAGAUACUACCGCUUACCACCAGAUGUGCCCAGAUGGGAUUAGCUAGUAGGUGGGGUAAUGGCUCACCUAGGCGACGAGCCCUAGCUGGUCUGAGAGGCUGACCAGACACACUGGAACUGAGACACGGUCCAGACUCCUACGGGAGGCAGCAGUGGGGAAUAUUGCACAAUGGGCGCAAGCCUGAUGCAGCCAUGCCGCGUGUGUGAAGAAGGCCUUCGGGUUGUAAAGCACUUUCAGCGGGGAGGCGUUACUCACAGAAGAAGCACCGGCUAACUCCGUGCCAGCAGCCGCGGUAAUAC